rnacentral:rRNA from 1 species
UGGGGAAGUAUUGCGCAAUGGCCUAACGGCUGACGCAGCGACGCCGCGUGUGGGAUGACGCCUCGGGGUGUAAACCACUGUUGCUCGAGACGAAUAGCGAGCUUUAGCUCGCCUGACGGUAUCGAGUGAGGAAGCACCGGCUAACUCCGUGCCAGCAGCCGCGGUAAUACGGAGGGUGCGAGCGUUGUCCGGAACCACUGGGCGUAAAGGGCGCGUAGGUGGUCAGGUAAGGGUGUGGUGAAAGUCCGGGGGCUCAACCCGCAGAUCUGCCGUGCCGACUGCUUGACUGGAGCAUUGCAGAGGCAGAUGGAAUUCCGGGUGUAGCGGUGGAAUUGCGUAGAGAUCCGGAAGAAGACCGGUGGCGAAGGCGAUCUGCUGGGCAAUGGCUGACACUGAGGCGCGACAGCGUGGGAGCAAACA